GGCUGAUGAACCCACUCCAUUUAAGCAUUCAAGCAAGCCUAUUUUUUUUUAGCAGUGUAUUCUAUUCAUUACGUUAUGCAUUAAUGUGAAUACAUCUUUCUGUCCCUUGCCACCACUAUAGCCUCCACUGGCAUGGUCCCAGUCCACACACUUAAAUUAUUUCUCGAGAUUAGAGGUCUAAAAUAUUAUUUUGUGUGGCCGCCGCCGGCCCGGCCUGGACGCAUGAUCACUCUGCCGGGUCUGGUUACCAUGCUCAAUCUUUCACCCAUGGGGCUGUGUGAGUGUGUGUUUCUCUGUGUCUGAACGUGUCUCUGUCUGUCUGUCUGCAUCUGAGCGCGUGUCUGUGUGUGUGUCUCUGUCUGUCUGUGUGUCUGUCUAUUUGUUUAUGUGUGUGUGGGUGGGUGGGUGCGUGUGUGUGUGUGCUUUUGUUUGCGUCUGUGACUCCUCUCUCACCCAGGUUGCUUCACUUUAAACCCAAGAACACUGCUGCCUGUCCAGGGUGGACACAACAAACGUGUGAUGUAAUUUCCUCCUCGGGGGGCAUCUGCUCGAGUCCUCAUGGUAGCAGCGGUAACAGGUGGGCUCAGCUUCAGAGGUUCCAGCAGUGUAGCAGGCACCAGGCAGUGUGGUCCCUGGACCCUGGAACAGCCUCAAUUCGUCCGGGCAUGAACUUUACAAGAUGUCGAAAAGCGUUCCACAGCGAUGCUGGCCCAUGUUGACUCCAAUGCUUCCCACAGUUGUGUCAAGUUGGCUGGAUGUCCUUUGGGUGUUUGACCAUUCUUCAUGCUCAAAGGAAACUGUUGAGUGUGUAAAAUCCAGCAGCAUUGCAGUUCUUGACAAACCAGUGUGCCUGGCACCUACUUCCAUACCCCGUUCAAAGGAUAACCUGCUGCUCACCAUUUACUUCCUGUGUAUGUCCCAAAUGGCACCCUAUUCCCUGUAUAGUGCAUUACGUUUGACGAGGGCCCGAAACAAUUGCACUAUAUAGGGAAAAGGGUGCCAUUUGGGACGCAACCCUGUUUUUCAACACUGACUUGGUGGAGGAGGGGAAAGUCGUGACAGAAACCGGAAGCAGGCCAAAGAGAAGGACAAUAGAAAAGUGUGUGUAAAUACCAGACUGAGGUACUGUAAAUUGGCUUGGUUUAGGCCAUCCAUACCACCUGUCUUCUAAAACAAAGCAAAGUCGACCUAGUACAUCAGAGGAGAUGAGCAGCAUGGAAAGACCUGAGCCCUAGGACCAUGCCUCAGGACUACCUGACAUGAUGACUCCUUGCUGUCCCCAGUCCACCUGGCCGUGCUGCUGCUCCAGUUUCAACUGUUCUGCCUGUGAUUACUAUUAUUUGACCAUGCUGGUCAUUUAUGAACAUUUGAACAUCUUGGCCAUGUUCUGUUAUAAUCUCCACCCGGCACAGCCAGAAGAGGACGGGCCACCCCACAUAGCCUGGUUCCUCUCUAGGUUUCUUCCUUGGUUUUGGCCUUUCUAGGGAGUUUUUCCUAGCCACUGUGCUUCUACACCUGCAUUGCUUGCUGUUUGGGGUUUUAGGCUGGGUUUCUGUACAGCACUUUGAGAUAUCAGCUGAUGUACGAAGGGCUAUAUAAAUACAUUUGAUUUGAUAACAUUUCAUUGGGUAUGUAUUAAUUUGUGGAUGUGCACCACCAAUUUCGUAUUAUAUGUUAUGAUCAUCAAGGACAACAACCACCCGAGCCACUGCCUGUUCACCCCGCUAUCAUCCAGAAGGCAAGGUCAGUACAGGUGCAUCAAAGCAGGGACUGAGAGACUGAAAAACAGCUUCCAUCUCAAGGCCAUCAGACUGUUAAACAGCCACCACUAACAUUGAGUGGCUGCUGCCAACAUACUGACUCAAUUCCAGCUCACUUCAAUAAUGGAAAUUGAUGUAAAAAAUGUAUCAGUAGCCACUUUAAACAAUGCCACUUAAUAUAAUGUUUACAUACCCUACAUUACUCAUCUCAUAUGUAUAUACUGUACUCUAUAUCAUCUACUGCAUCUUGCCAUCUUUAUGUAAUACAUGUAUCACUAGCCACUUUAAACUAUGCCACUUAAUAUAAUGUUUACAUACCCUACAUUUCUCAUAUGUAAAUACUGUACUCGAUACCAUCUACUGCAUCUUGCCUAUGCCGUUCUGUACCAUCACUCAUUCAUAUAUCUUUAUGUACAUAUUCUUUAUCCCUUUACACUUGUGUGUGUAUAAGGUAGUAGUUGUGGAAUUGUUAGGUUAGAUUACUCGUUGGUUAUUACUGCAUUGUCGGAACUACAAGCAUUUCGCUACACUCGCAUUAACAUCUGCGAACCAUGUGUAUGUGACAAAUAAAAUUUGAUUUGAACUACAAUUCGUAUUAUAUGUUACAAAUUUGCCAAAUGUACAAUAUGUUACAAAUGAGAAAAAUAUACAAUAUAUUACGUAUUUUCAAAAUGUAGUAUACGUUAUGAAUUCUUGCUAGGUAACUAACAUUAGCUAACUGAAUUAGGGGCUAAGGUUAAGUUUAGGAGUUAGGUUAAAUGAUUAAGGUUAGGUGAAUGAUUAGCUAACAUUCUAAGUAGUUGAAAAGUUGCUAAUUAGUCAGUGAUGGGAUUUGAACUCUCAACUGCUGGGCUGCUAGACGUUGGCGUUAUAUGCUAACCCAUCCAGCCUGACUAACCAUUUCUACCUUUGCAUUUUCCUUAAAGCAAAU
ensembl:lncRNA